rnacentral:lncRNA from 1 species
GCAGUGGGCGUUUCUGUCGGAUUAAUAUCUCUGACCGUGGUCGUCAUGAUCAGUAAAAACAUGCAUCGCGUGGACACUGAAAAUCUUGAGGAAGAAAAACAGUGUUCACCAUUAGUUGACUUGCCAGUGGACAAUACUCUGUUUAGUGAAUCAACUUCAGAGACGUUUCUCCUCAAGAGCACAAAAAUGUCAGACAUUCCGGAAGAGCCAGAGGAGAUUUAUGAAAGUAGCCACCCUUCCAUCGUGCCCCUGAAAGAAGCCGCUCAGAGCGCUGAGGAACAGGGAAAAAUCAACUACAUUACGUCCGGACCAGGCGAAGGUCACAAACAUUCCUCUAGAUGGAGACAAGAAGCUCAAAGAUGGUCCUAAUGUUGUUUAUACUGUUCUCGCCAAGCAACCGAGAGAGGAGAUGGAAGAAUCUGGAGUCUAAAGCGGUCAACUGAUGGAAGAAAUUGUAAAACCACACAGGGACUUUUUUUUUUAAUUAUAUGCACUUAUGGACCACUUGAUGUAGCCUCAAUGUCAGAGACUUGAAAAGUAGAAAAAAUCCCCACUGUUCUGUUUAAUUGUGUCCAGCUGCAGUUUGCCCUAAUAAAAUCCAGCUGUUUAAAACGACACGCUACUGUUCAAAUGUUUGGGGUCAGUAAGAUUUAUUUUAAAUAUUUUUGGAAGAAGUCUCUUAUGCUCUUUUUUUAAUUUAUUUUGAUCGAGA